AAACGUCUGCCAUUAUGUAACAUCACUUUAUCUAAUUCUACAUCCUACUGUUGUUUGUGUUCAUUUCAUUCUCUCCUCUCCCAAAGGGAUUAUUGUCAUGCACAAGACAACCCACCGCAGACAAUCGCCCUCCCAGGACAAUCGGCCAGUGGGACAAAGUUGUGACCCCACACUGAGUGAAGCCUGCCAACUGAAGCCAAGCAGCUCCAAACUGGGACAGUGAAGAGAGACAGGACAUGGGCCAGAGAGAAGGGGAGUGACGUGCAGCAAAGAGUCCUGUCGGGAGUCAAACCGGGGAGUCGCCUGCUCAGAGCGACCACAUGCUCUGCAUCCAAACCACUCAGCUAUCGGGUUCUGGAUUUUAAACGCAGUGUUUCAUCACGAAGAAAAAAUGGGUCCACAUAGUGAACACAGUGAUCAGCGGGGCAUGUCGUUAGUCAUUGCUUUAAUUAGUGAUGACAGAGAGCGACUUCUAGGAAAGACUGAAGGAGUAUUAACGGAGAAACGUGCACGUUCUGUGGAUGUUUUCGCCAUAAAUCUUCAAAAGGAGUGUACUCCAGAUGACAAGGAAGAAUUAUUCCUGUGCGGCCCUGAGCAGCAUACAAAGCAAACUGAGCUGCUAAACAAUUAAAUGCAGGUAGCGGAGCAGAGGCUCUGUAGAAAGUUAGCAACAGAUGAGUUUAAUCGACUGUGAAAUGGUGGUGAAAUAUUCUGUUACCUGCACAUUUUAUUGUUACAGCUGUAGGGGCCCACAUGUAAUGUUAAACAGCUUGUUCACGGCCCCACAGCGCACUGGGGCAUGUGUAGAAUAAUGCACGGAUCGUUUUGUUAGUUUAAGGGGGUUGUUAAGUCAUUUGUGGUCGUCGGGGGCUUGUCUCAAUCAAGAAAUACAGUUCGUACAGUUUGCUGUUUCUGUGGUCCUCUUGAUAUCAUUUGCAUCUAACUAUAACGCCCCUGGAAUCUGGACUUUGACAAGAACUUUUUGGGUUGUUAUUUGACAUUCAUUUUCUUUAUCUUCAAAAAGGGUUUGCACAGUCUACGUCAUGUUUUCCUUCAUGCAGGAAGUGUGAGACUGCGUGCCUGUUAUGCCCUGCAGGUGAAGCUGUUGGCUAACAGGUGAGACAAAGCCACUGAUAAAAGCUGUAGUCAGAGGUGCAGCACUCUUCCAGAAGUAAAGGUUUGGACAGAAUGUUUCUCUUGGCAGAGAUGUUGAAAAUCUGUUGUUAUUGGAGAAAACGGUGGAGCUUGGGGGAAUGUGUUUUUUGGGAGCUGAAUACGCAGCGUCAUCAAGAAUGUCUUCAAUAAAUUUGAGGGGAAAAUCAGGCCCUUCAAUUCCGAGCAUCAGCGUGGAUCUGUUGUGGCAGACGGGAUUUCAUCAACCCCCGGCACGGACAAAACACUGAAAUGCAGUUUUAAACUACAACAGCAAACGUGCCAAAUGCCACUGAACCGUACAUGAGCCAUCACAUCACACCCCUGUUUGAAUUCCUCUCAGUGAUUUCAUUUUUUUUUUUUAAACUGCUGACUGCUGUUUAUUUACUUUGUGAGCUACAGUAUGUGUUCAUUCGCCUUUCACACACUGUCAACACACUGUUUUAAUGGGGCGCAAUGGGACACAAGCCAUACAGGACUGUAAACAUAUAGUCUUCCAAGAGUUGAUACUGAUCGGAAAAUGUAAAAAAAAUAAGAAUAAAAACAGAAUAAAGAAAGGCCUGAA